GCCACGGGAGGAAAGAGGUGAAACGAACGUGCUGUGAAGCUAACGUUUGGAAAAGUGCCCCUGGCUUCUUCCUAGGCCGUCGUUAAAGGCUGCGCUGGCUUUCUUUGAGCUCCCGAGAGGUGCCGAGCCUAGACCUGUGUCGCCGCCUGUCCUCCAACAAAACCCCACAAACCCCGAGAAGGGAGAAGGGGUCAGGUGCCUUGGAGGCCGGGCCUUGUUUCUGGAUCCUCAGUUCCCCGACUUGCACCAAGCAGGACUGAUGCUUACCUGUGUACAACUGCAGUGAGGUGUCGUGUUGGUUGAACAGGGGAGGAGUGAUCACCGCAGGGCGGGCCUUCGAGAGAACUUGUCAUUGGUUCUUUCCUUCCCGACUUGGCACCCACAUCGGCUGUUAGGACCUAAGCCUGCUCCGAGCUGUGUGCACCGGGUCUCCAGGUCACCGAGUGCAGGCGGAAGUGACCUCUAUGGGUUUGGGGGUAAGUAUGUGCCUAUGAAGUCAGGGAAGCCUGGCCUGCUGCAGUCCAUGGGGUCGCAAAGAGUUGGACACGACUGAGCGACUGAACUGAGCUGAUGAAGUCAUUGUCCCCAUCAGAACCAGAAAUAUCUGUCACCCCCCCAAAGUUUCC